rnacentral:rRNA from 1 species
AGAGUUUGAUCCUGGCUCAGAAUGAACGUUGGCGGCGUGGAUUAGGCAUGCAAGUCGAGCGAGAAUUUCAUUGUUGAAGCUUCGGUGGAUUCAAUGGAAGGACAGCGGCAAACGGCGUAGUAAUGCGUAGGUACGUACCCUCAGGUUGGGGAUAGCCACGGGAAACUGUGGGCAAUACCCAAUAAUCUCUGCGGAGCAAAGGUGUGAUUCCGCCUGAGGAGCGGCUUACGUGAUAUUAGCUAGAUGGUGGGGUAAUGGCCUACCAUGGCGACGAUGUCUCGGGGGUGUGAGAGCAUGGCCCCCACGACCGGAACUGAGAUACUGUCCGGACACCUACGGGUGGCUGCAGUCGAGAAUCUUCCGCAAUGGGCGAAAGCCUGACGGAGCGACGCCGCGUGCGG